CCAGACUCCUACGGGAGGCAGCAGUGGGGAAUAUUGCACAAUGGGGGAAACCCUGAUGCAGCAACGCCGCGUGAGUGAGGAAGUAUUUCGGUAUGUAAAGCUCUAUCAGCAGGGAAUAGAAAAGAAGGUACCUGAAAAAGAAGCCCCGGCUAACUACGUGCCAGCAGCCGCGGUAAUACGUAGGGGGCAAGCGUUAUCCGGAUUUACUGGGUGUAAAGGGAGCGCAGGCGGCCUUGCAAGUCUGAUGUGAAAGGCCGGGGCCCAACCCCGGGACUGCAUUGGAAACUGCGAGGCUGGAGUGUCGGAGAGGCAGGCGGAAUUCCUGGUGUAGCGGUGAAAUGCGUAGAUAUCAGGAGGAACACCGGUGGCGAAGGCGGCCUGCUGGACUGCAACUGACGUUGAGGCCCGAAAGCGUGGGGAGCAAACAGGAUUAGAUACCCGCGUAC
rnacentral:rRNA from 1 species